rnacentral:tRNA from 1 species
GCCGGGAUGGCGGAACUGGCAGACGCACAAGACUUAAAAUCUUGGGAGCCAUAGGCUUGUACGGGUUCAAUUCCCGUUCCCGGCACCA